rnacentral:lncRNA from 1 species
ACUAUCCAGACUACCAUCGUCUCUUCCAAAUCCCACCACAACCCUAAUUGAAUGUUGCACUUGAAGGGUCGUGCGUUUCCAUCCCACCCACUCAAUUUUAGGUUUAGCGUUUCCUUUAUUAAUUCAAUCAUCCCCUUGAUUUUGAUGUAUUUUCAUUGAGAAGAUUGAAAGAGCAAUCAAGUGCCAAAGAGUCGUCCAAGAGCACCUUCAUCUGUCGUCCUUCGAUUCUUCAAUCUCUGUAAUUUUAUUCUCACCAAGCUGUUUCUUAUAUGUUGUUAUUUGAUUCAGCAAUUAGCAUAUACGUUUGGGGAUUUUGCCCUUUUCUUCUAUUGUUGAUGAUUUUCUUCGUUAUCCAUACUGUUUACAAUAAUUGUAGUUUGCAAUUGAUCAUGAUGAUGAACAAAAGAAACUGUUGAUGUUGAAUGAUGAUGAGUCCACACCAAAAGAUAAAGGUUAUGGUUGGGGACCAAAAUGUGGGAAUUAUUAGAUUAAUCAGUUUAGUAUGUCAUAGUAGUUGGUGUUAUGUGCUUGAGAUUUGUUUAUUGUGCAAAAUUUUGCUGGAAAUUUCAGGAUUUUACUGGAAUGUUGUCGAAAUCUAACCAAAAUCCGGCUGAAAUCUGGUUUGAAGGUCGCCAGGGAUGAAAUCUAAAACCAGGAGGCAACCUUAACACACCAUCUUUUAAAUAAUUCAGUUUCUCCAUAUCCCAAUAAGUCGUUCAACAACAGUUUUCUUUGAAACACAAGAGUUGAUUAAUAAAAUGGAAAUUAAAAUAGUUUCAGUAAUAUGGGAAAAUGUUUAAGAAUCCAUAUUGAAAACGAUGAAACUGUGAUUACUAGGGCUAUUCUUAGCAUGCCCAUCAGGGUUGGAGUUGCCUACAUUGGUUCGGGCAAGACAUAUAUCAUGGGUACUGGAUUCAAAGAUGGUUGCCAAACAUGGCUUAUCCUCAAGCCAUGAAUGCAUUGUUCAACAAGAUUGAAUCUUUACAGCAUCAACUAGAGUUCCAAUUGCAUGUUUCUUUCAUUGAGGAUUUUUUGGAUACUUCAAAGAAAUAGUAAGUUAAGAGGCUUAUGAGAACAGAGAGAAAAAGUGGUGUAUCAAGUGCAUCCAAAAGCACCUCUCGUAGAGGGAGGCUAGAGUGGCGCUAAGUGAGAGAUUCAGUUGUGUUAUGAAUGAAGCUUCUCAUGUUGAUAAUGAAGCUUCCCAUGUGACUACCCAGGCAAGUUUUUGUAGAGGAAGGAGAAGCAAAAGCUGCUUCAGUUAAAUGUCAUGUUUAUAGAAACACAUUCUGGGUUCAACAUAAAAGCUCUAUUAGAAACAUAGCAUCGGUGUGACGACGUUACGAGGAAUGGAAACUCUCUUUCAUGAACAAAACAUGAAAAAGUGGUUGAUGUGAAUUUGAAGUCUUCCAAGUGUGAGUUCAUCCCAACCCGAAUCUGGUGGCUGUGCUUGGUGAUGGAUGGAUGCACAUCAUGAUACUGGUUCUACAAUUUGCAAGGUCGAAAACAUAAAUAUAUCAAUAGGAGCCCUCAUGUUUAUUGCUUUAGUAUCAUCAUUUACCAUAAAUGUAUGUGAUCAUUUCUCGUUUUUUUUUUUUUUUUGACUUUACGAACAUUCAGUUUGUUUUUGAGUUGUCAUUUUGACGUGUGUAAAACGAUCCACGUCACAAGUAUUCUUUAUUUGGUAUAUCAGUUAAAUAAAAAAUUUGGGAUGAAUUUUACGUCCUAAAC